AGUCGCUCUGGCGCACGUGAAUAAUUUAGCUUGUUUUGACCGCGACAGAGAUAAAGAGGGGGAAAAAACCCAUCAGUGUCCGUUUGAUAGCAGCCACGCCGAACAUUUCGGAGAGUUUCUGAAUGUUCAAGACGUUCAUUACGGUCACAGAAUGCCGCCAUUGCCUAACUAUGCGCGAACGGCUGCGUUGUAAGGACGUUACAGCGAACCGAGCCGCACGUUUUGGCGAAGCGGCUCAGCUCAAGACCGACUCCAGCUGGCGUAACAACUAACCUCCCAGCCGACUGGUGAAAUUGGAUUCUGCCGUCUAACGUUUCACUCGGCUUGCUCUCGCAAUUAUUUAGCAAGCAGUGAGCCGUCCAAGAGUUUAUGGAGGCAACUUUGACGAGACCUUUUCACGGAAACUAUCAAAUACAUGACAAUUGAGCUGAACCAAACCGUAGAAGAUAGUGCUUGUUUGUGUAUUACACGUAGGUGUACAUACAUCUGAAGCAAAUAAUAAUAAUAAAGAUCCAAGAUCUUUGGAGAAAUGUUCUACAAUUUAAACACAUUCAACUGUAACCUUAUGGGAACGUUUUCCAUAAGGUUUAGGAGUAUUUCUUCCGAAUGUAUAUUAUUGAGGUCAGACACUGACGUGGGAAGAGAAGACGUAUUCAGAGUUUGUCCUCUGAUUCAUCCCAACAGCUGAGAGCGGCGGCCACGUUUCAUUCCACCCGACAGAGCAGGAACAAGAGACCUCAAAAUUGCUGGAGCCGUUUGUUCCAGGAUUGAGAAAUUUGCUGGAGGGAAAAUCUGCUACCGGAGACUCUGAGCUGUCAUGAGGGGCUGAUCUGAGAGGAGCUUCUGGAAGCAGCUUGCAAACAGAUUCUGGGAGGAAAUUGAAAUAUCUGCAUUACACUCCCACCUACAAAGGAAGACCAGCUCGCAGAAAAAGAGCGUCGCCACCAGGUUCCUGUGGAUGGCGUGCAGGUUGGAGCGCAGCCGGUGCAGGAGGCACAGCAGGAUGAAG